rnacentral:lncRNA from 1 species
AAGGACAUAGAAUUUGAUGCACAUAGAAUGCUGGGAAGAUAGGAAGUUGGUUUUUGUUUUGUUUGUUUGCUUGUUUGUUUGCUUGCUUGCUUGCUUUUUGAGGGGUGAGCUUCAGGGGACUGGCUAGCUUUCAUGCUUUUGUUUUUGCAUUUUUCUUUUUGAGAAAAAAACUUCAGAUCCUUUUUUUCUGAUAUUAUGCAAUUGGUUGUUUGGAUCUGACCUUUCUUAUUCUCUUCCAUUUUUCCCAUGGUCCUUUGCUUCUGUGGUCUCUUCUGUGGUUCCAGUUGUUGAGCCUCUGGUUGAGGUUAAGUCAGGGUUAUGUUUUCCUCAAUUUGUUAAGUUCUGAGCUUGGCACUUCUCAAAUAACGUUUCUGUGCUCAGCUAUCUCUCUACUCCUGUACUGAUGUACAAGCCCUGUUGGCUUUGCCUCAAGACCAUUAAAUUCCCUUUUAUGUGGUUAUAGCAGAUGUCUUAGACUGUCGGCUAACAUCAGCAUCUGAACCAUCUCAUGCUUGCCAUGUACAACUAUCAUGUUGUUUGUUUCAUCAGGUGAUUCUGCACUGUAGCUUGGGAAAAUUGAGCCUCACCUUAUGAGACUCUUGGAGCUGUGACAUAAAGCUGCCUGUGGUUUGUUUCUCCAGACUGAGAUUGCCACCUCUACGGGCCACUCGUCCAGUUUUCCAAAUAUUUUCUAUCCUCCUCUGGGCCUAUUCUGUGCUUUCCAACUCCAGAUGAUCAUUUUCUAGGGGAUAUAGAGGCACAAUAAGAGGGGCCCUUCCCUCUGAAAUCUCCCACAUUGCUGAUUCCCAAGACUCUUUCCAGGGUCCUUUGGUCAAUAACAAUAAUUUUCCAUUGGAGUUUUGGCUUUCUGUGUCUCUGCUGCAGUUGUGUAGAUCUUCUAGUUGGGGUGGUUAGGAGAG